ACUUUUUUGCGGUUGGCCAAUAUACAUAAAAAGACGCAGCGCCUGCGACGGGAAGCUCAGACCAAUUUUAUCAAAAUCACACACGACUCGUCCCACGCAGUCUGUUUCGACGCAAGCAAUGGCAAGAUACACAGUGAUUCUCGCGCUGGUGGCGUUCGUCCUCAUCGUCGGUGCCCAGGCCGCUGGCUAUAAUAAGGAUGGUACUAAGUGCGAAUGCUUCUGCCACAGAGCCAGGUUUAUAAUUUGCGGAAAAAAUUCAAAGGGCGAGUUCAAGCUUUUCGGAAACCCAUGCGAAAUGGAAUGCCAUAGCUGUCUCAAAAAAGACUAUUACGCCGCAACAGAUUUGUCGAAUUGCCCAGACAGAACUCGAGUUUAAUUUAAUUCUACGAAUAAACCCUUUUUUGGUGAAGAAUAUUGAAAAAAAUAAAUCGCAUAUUUAAAUUACA